AGGUUACUAUGGUGACCACAUUGUGCAGCCUCUUCCACUAAACUGGAAAUUCUUCACUACAGUCCUCUGACCUCUUGCUUUGCAUUGAGAGAAAUCUCUAUUCUUCAGGCCACCAGCUGAGAAACCAUACUAAUUAGAAGGACCAGACUGGGACCCACAUAAUUAUGGGAGCUCUGCAGCUUGGUAGAACAUACAUGUCCCUAUUGCCAGCACCCGGGCUGUGGUCAUCUGGAGGCUCUACUCAUCUAAGACAUCCAGAGAUGUCGUUCACAUGGAUGAUGACCAGUGCUAGGAACUAAAUAGCAGCUGAUGCCUGGAGCAACCUGGUCUUUCACACAGCCCUCCAUGUGUGGAGAUGCCACAUAAAACAGAAGGCAUGUGGUCAAAUUUGAAUUAUAGAUAAACAACACAUAAUUGUUUGACCUGGAUUCUUGCUAUUUUGCCCAUGCAGAUCUCAAACUCCUAGGCUCAAGUGAUCUCCUGCCUCAGCCUCAUGAGUAGGUGGGAUAAGAGUAUGCUACC
rnacentral:lncRNA from 1 species